NCCUGGUUCGUACUUGGAUGGGAGACCUCCUGGGAAUACCAGGU
ensembl:rRNA 5S_rRNA 5S ribosomal RNA